UGCGGCGCAUUUAGCUUGUUGGCGGGGUGACGGCCCACCAAGGCGACGAUUGCGUAGGGGUUCUGAGAGGAAGGUCCCCCCACACUGGUACUGAGACACGGACCAGACUCCUACGGGAGGCAGCAGUGAGGAAUAUUGGUCAAUGGGCGGCGGCCUGAACCAGCCAAGUCGCGUGGGGAGGAAGGUCCUAUGGAUUGUAAACCCCUUUAGCCGGGGAGUAACGGGCGGGUCGCGACCCGCCGUGAGAGUACCCCGGAGAAUAAGCAUCGGCUAACUCCGUGCC
rnacentral:rRNA from 1 species